UACAGAGGGUGCAAGCGUUGCUCGGAAUUAUUGGGCGUAAAGGGUAGGUAGGUGGUCUCAUUUGUCUGGGGUGAAAGCCUUGAGCUUAACUCAAGAAGUGCCCCAGAAACGGUGAGACUAGAGUCCUGGGAGAGGGUCGUGGAAUUCCCGGUGUAGCGGUGAAAUGCGUAGAGAUCGGGAGGAACACCAGAGGCGAAAGCGGCGACCUGGACAGGUACUGACACUCAACUACGAAAGCGUGGGGAGCAAACAGG
rnacentral:rRNA from 1 species